rnacentral:rRNA from 1 species
UACGUAGGGUGCGAGCGUUAAUCGGAAUUACUGGGCGUAAAGCGUGCGCAGGCGGUUCGCUGUGUCCGAUGUGAAAGCCCCGGGCUUAACCUGGGAAUGGCAUUGGAAACUGGCGAGCUGGAGUGUGGCAGAGGGGGUGGAAUUCCGCGUGUAGCAGUGAAAUGCGUAGAGAUGCGGAGGAACACCGAUGGCGAAGGCAGCCCCCUGGGUUAACACUGACGCUCAGGCACGAAAGCGUGGGGAGCAAACAGG